AUGGCCGCGCUGCCUCCUCUCUCCAUAUGCCUGCGUCUUGGCGCUCGGAUCGCCAUGGUCGGGGAUCCGCGGAUCCCGCCGCCGUUGUCGCUACGAGGAGGUCGAGCUGGAACCCCAUGGGCUUGGUCUGGGUCUAGCCACGGCGGGAGUGCCAUGGCCUCCCUUCUCGAUCUGGGGAAGAAAAGGGAAGGGACAGGAGAGGAGGGGAGAUCACCAGUACGGAGAGGAUGGAGGCCAGCGGCGGUGGGGGAGAGCGCGGGCCAGCAGGGGGCGGCAGAAGACGUGGGCCGGCGGCGGGGUGGCGGCGUCGCCAGAUCCAAGCCGGGGUCGAGGGAUAGACACAAAGGAGCGCGGAAUGGUUAA
rnacentral:rRNA from 1 species